AGGGAGUUCUCUCUCUCUCCGUCUGGGAGGAGCCUGGUGAAGAUAUCUACAGAAAGCUCAUGGCUUAUCGAGAUUCAAUCAUUGCAAGGAAUUCUUCAGAUCCCACCUGCUGUGUCGUCAAGAAACAAAUUCUUUGGAAAGUCCAAGGGAUUAAAGACAAAAGUGUCCCAAGAAAACUCUUCUUU